CGGCACUGCGGAUGUUUUGGACUACACCUCACAUGAUGCUUUGCCAGCAUUAUGGGGGGUGUAGUCCACAACAUCUGGAGUGCCG
rnacentral:miRNA from 1 species